rnacentral:rRNA from 1 species
GGGGAAUCUUCCGCAAUGGACGAAAGUCUGACGGAGCAACGCCGCGUGAGUGAUGACGGCCUUCGGGUUGUAAAGCUCUGUUAAUCGGGACGAAAGGUCCUCUUGCGAAUAGUUAGAGGAAUUGACGGUACCGGAAUAGAAAGCCACGGCUAACUACGUGCCAGCAGCCGCGGUAAUACGUAGGUGGCAAGCGUUGUCCGGAAUUAUUGGGCGUAAAGCGCGCGCAGGCGGAUUAGUCAGUCUGUCUUAAAAGUUCGGGGCUUAACCCCGUGAUGGGAUGGAAACUGCUGAUCUAGAGUAUCGGAGAGGAAAGUGGAAUUCCUAGUGUAGCGGUGAAAUGCGUAGAUAUUAGGAAGAACACCAGUGGCGAAGGCGACUUUCUGGACGAAAACUGACGCUGAGGCGCGAAAGCCAGGGGAGCGAACGGGAUUAGAUACCCCGGUAGUCCUGGCCAUAAACGAUGGGUACUAGGUGUAGGAGGUAUCGACCCCUUCUGUGCCGGAGUUAACGCAAUAAGUACCCCGCCUGGGGAGUACGACCGCAAGGUUG